UUUUUUGGUUGGGUGCUCGAGUGGCGAACGGGUGAGUAUUACGUGAGUAACCUGCCCUCAACUGUGGGAUAAGCCUGGGAAACUGGGUCUAAUACUGCAUAUUCUUCUUUCACCGCAUGGUGGGGGUUGGAAAGUUUUUUCGGUUGGGGAUGGGCUCGCGGCCUAUCAGCUUGUUGGUGGGGUGAUGGCCUACCAAGGCGGUGACGGGUAGCCGGCCUGAGAGGGUGGUCGGCCACAUUGGGACUGAGAUACGGCCCAGACUCCUACGGGAGGCAGCAGUGGGGGAUAUUGCACAAUGGGCGCAAGCCUGAUGCAGCGACGCCGCGUGAGGGAUGAAGGCUUUCGGGUUGUAAACCUCUUUCGGUACAGAACAAGGCACGUUUUUUGCGUGUGGAGGGUAUGUGCAGAAGAAGCGCCGGCUAACUACGUGCCAGCAGCCGCGGUAAUACGUAGGGCGCGAGCGUUGUCCGGAAUUAUUGGGCGUAAAGGGCUCGUAGGCGGCUUGUUGCGCCUGCUGUGAAAACGCGGGGCUUAACUCCGCGCGUGCAGUGGGUACGGGCAGGCUUGAGUGUGGUAGGGGUGACUGGAAUUCCAGGUGUAGCGGUGGAAUGCGCAGAUAUCUGGAGGAACACCGAUGGCGAAGGCAGGUCACUGGGCCAUUACUGACGCUGAGGAGCGAAAGCGUGGGUAGCGAACAGGAUUAGAUACCCUGGUAGUCCACGCUGUAAACGUUGGGAACUAGGUGUGGGGCCCUUUUCCGGGGUUCUGCGCCGUAGCUAACGCAUUAAGUUCCCCGCCUGGGGAGUACGGCCGCAAGGCUAAAACUCAAAGGAAUUGACGGGGGCCCGCACAAGCGGCGGAGCAUGCGGAUUAAUUCGAUGCAACGCGAAGAACCUUACCAAGGCUUGACAUACACCGGGAGCAUGCAGAGAUGUGUGUGCCUUUUUGGCUGGUGUACAGGUGGUGCAUGGUUGUCGUCAGCUCGUGUCGUGAGAUGUUGGGUUAAGUCCCGCAACGAGCGCAACCCUUGUCUCGUGUUGCCAGCGCGUUAUGGUGGGGACUCACGAGAGACUGCCGGGGUUAACUCGGAGGAAGGUGGGGAUGACGUCAAAUCAUCAUGCCCCUUAUGUCUUGGGCUUCACGCAUGCUACAAUGGCCGGUACAGUGGGUUGCGAUACUGUGAGGUGGAGCGAAUCUCUGAAAGCCGGUCUCAGUUCGGAUCGGGGUCUG
rnacentral:rRNA from 1 species